AUUGAACGCUGGCGGCAGGCCUAACACAUGCAAGUCGAGCGGAUGACGGGAGCUUGCUCCUUGAUUCAGCGGCGGACGGGUGAGUAAUGCCUAGGAAUCUGCCUGGUAGUGGGGGACAACGUUUCGAAAGGAACGCUAAUACCGCAUACGUCCUACGGGAGAAAGCAGGGGACCUUCGGGCCUUGCGCUAUCAGAUGAGCCUAGGUCGGAUUAGCUUGUUGGUGGGGUAAUGGCUCACCAAGGCGACGAUGCGUAACUGGUCUGAGAGGAUGAUCAGUCACACUGGAACUGAGACACGGUCCAGACUCCUACGGGAGGCAGCAGUGGGGAAUAUUGGACAAUGGGCGAAAGCCUGAUCCAGCCAUGCCGCGUGUGUGAAGAAGGUCUUCGGAUUGUAAAGCACUUUAAGUUGGGAGGAAGGGUUGUAGAUUAAUACUCUGCAAUUUUGACGUUACCGACAGAAUAAGCACCGGCUAACUCUGUGCCAGCCGCCGCCGUAAGAC
rnacentral:rRNA from 1 species